CGGAAAAUAUAACAAAAUAAAAUCUUUAUAUAAUUAAAAAUUAUGUAUGUAUCCAUGUAUAUAUUUUCGUAAAGGUAUAAAUUCUUAAAUAAAUAUUUGAAAUGAAUUUAAAUAUAAAUUAAACAAGUCAUGACAUUAAAAUAAUAUAAUAACAUUUAUUUAAACAAAUCACACACAAAUCUCAAAUAGUAUAGAAUUUCAGAGUUUACAUAACCAAGAGAUAUCACAUGAAAUAACAUAAUAUGUUUUAGGAAACAUUUAUCUUUAAAUAGAUUCGACGCGCCCAUUCGACUCUCCACGCGCCUCCGAUAUCAAUCACCUGAAACUAUUGAAUAUGGGAUGGGCAUACAAGGUACACUCAGUGUGGGAACAUGCAAUAAUUGUCCAUGUUAAUAAAAUGGUAACACAUAUUGUCAUAACGUAACAUAACUUCCAUACGCACUGUGGCAACUCCAAGGACUUUAAUGUCCCGGACCCUAUAUAUGGAUCCCUGGCGACAAUAUAAUGGUUGCAACCCUGUAAUAUGAAAUCGCAUUGUGGCAUACCAAGGACGGUGAAGUCCUGGACCAAUUAUGCUGGCCCCUAGCGAUAAAUAUUUUUACAACACAUAUGGUAAACACAUAAUAUUAAAAUGGACAAAUAUUAACCACGUGCAUGUACUGAAAUAAAUCCCACACCUGAAACUUGAACUUUUGAGCUUUGAAAAUUAACUGCAAGAAUUUAAAGUUCACAUCCUAGUCGCGCCGCACCUAGUCAGAUAAAUUCAAAUAAUAACAUAUAAGGGCCUAUUUGAACUUUUAGGAAAAUAAUAUAAACUAUAGGAUCAUUUAAAAAUAAUUGAUCUAAUAAAUUUAAGUAGUAAAAUAUAUUUUCUCAUGAAAAUUUGGAUUAAGAAAUGAUUUAAUAAUUUAAAUAAUAAGAUAUAAUUUCUUAUGAAAAUUUUUGAUUAGUAAAAUAAUUUAAGGAAAUAAAUAAUGAGAUGCAUGCUUCUUUAAAAUUUGGGUUAGUGUUAAAAAUACCAAGUCCAAUUUAAUUAAAAGAAUUAUGCAGCCCAAAGCAAAUAAAUGCAGCCCAAUUACUUAAUUAAUCUGAGCCCAUUCCUAAGCCCAUACUAACUUUUCCUAAUUAAAACCCCCAAUUCACCAACACAUAACACAUACGCAGCCUCACAUCUUCAUUCUCUCUACCGCUCUCUCUCUCAGCCGUUCACUCGGCCUCCUGCUGCCGCCCCGGACGGCACGCCGCCGCCGGAGGCCGGCGGCUCUGCCUCCCCCUCCCGUCUCCUCAACCUCUCUCCCUCUUCCCUCAGGUCUUGUCUCCCUCUCGCUCCCCGUCGAUCUCUCUCCUCACCGCACCCAGCUGCGGUCGCUCCGACGACCUUUGCCGACUACCAGAUCUGGCGUCCUCUUCCUUUUCCGGCCGGCAGAAACGGCCGCCGCCUCCCCUUACCCCUCUCCCUUCUCUCUCCUGGCCGACAGCAGCACCACCAUCGCCGCCCCCGCGUCGACAGCGGCGCCGCCCAGCCGCCUCCUUCCUCUGUCCGACCAAGAACAGCACCGCAGCGGCCAAGGCCAUAGCGCCGCCGCCCCUGUCUCCACCUCCGUCGGCCGCCGUGGCGCGCAGCUCCGGCGGUAUUACUGCUCCACCGUUUCCCCUCUUCUUCCCUCUCUCUUUCUGCCUCCCCUAUUUCUAUUUCCUUUUUCCAUGUAAUAUAUAAGAUCUAUUCUAUUUGAUUUCUUAUUAAAUAUAAAUGAUAGAUUUGAUGAUGUAUGCAUGUAUGAAUUUAUAAAAACAAGAAUUUUGUGGGAGUUUGGUUGUUUUCUGUAAAUUGAAAGAAAACAGAAAUCUUUGCAUAUGAAAAUAAACUAUACAAGUUUUUGAGAAUUACCUAUGGAGAUUCGGCAGUGGAAAGGAAACAGGAUGAAUUAUAAAAGACUUUUUCCUGUUGGAUUUUGUUGGGUAUUUGCGAUGAAGAAGAUUAGAUAUACAUAUAUAUACUGGAUUGAAAUAUCGUGGUUGAGGAGUAAAAAUCGAAUUUGUGAAUUUGAGUAUUCGUCAAAGAUUUGAAGUGUGAAAGAAAUCCUACUAUGGAAGGAAAAAAAUCAAGAUUUGAAAUCAAAGUUUCGCUGCUGUGGUUGUCAAAUUUUACGGAAAGGGAGUUUGAUUAGUGAAUAGGUGUGUGCUUGUGAUUUUUCUGAAUAUAUAUAGAAUGUUCAGAGAAA
rnacentral:lncRNA from 1 species